rnacentral:rRNA from 1 species
GACGAACGCUGGCGGCGUGCCUAAUACAUGCAAGUCGAGCGCUGAAGGGUGGUACUUGUACCAACUGGAUGAGCAGCGAACGGGUGAGUAACGCGUGGGUAAUCUGCCUUUGAGAGGGGGACAACAUUGGGAAACGAAUGCUAAUACCGCAUAAAAACUUUAAACACAAGGUUCAAGUUUGAAAGAUGCAAUUGCAGCACUCAAUGAUGAUAUCGCGUUGUCAUAGCUAGGUGGUGAGGUCAAGGCUCACCAAGGCGAUGGUACAUUGCCGACCCGGGAGGGGGGUCGGCCCCAUUGGGACCUGGGACACGCCCCAGCUCCCUACGGGGGCAGCAGUAGGGGAUCUUCCGCAAUUGACGAAAGUCUUGCCGAGCCACGCCGCGUGGGUGAAGGAGGUUCUCGGAUCGUUAAACUCUGUUGGUAGGGAAGAACGUUGGUGAGAGUGGAAAGCUCAUCAAGUGACGGUAACUACUCAGAAAGGGACGGCUAACUACGUG